rnacentral:lncRNA from 13 species
GUGGCUUAAAACAGCAACUGUGGAUUAUUCCUCAUGAUUCUGAGAAUUGGCAGAGCUCAGCUGAGAGGUUGAUCUCUGUCUGCUCCACUCUGAUGUUGGUGGGAGUGAUUCACGUGGCUUCAUCUGGCUCGGACCUCUGCCGGAACUGAAGCAUUCUCUCUCACAUGGAGGACAGCUGGACCUCUCUUUCUCUCCACCUCUUUCCCUCUGGCUCCCUUUACACGUUGGCUCAGGAAUCCAGAAAAGGAAAGCUGAUGGUUUGCCAAAAGAAAAUGAAUUCCAAACUCUUGGGUCUGAACUGGGUUCAAGCAUCAGAUCCAGGGGAGCCCGGGGGAGGCUGCUUAGUCAGUCAGGAUGCUUGAAUGUCCUCUGCAGAAGCCAGGCAAAACAGAAAAACCAGACCAGCAGAGAGGAGAGAGACCAACAGCCAGACCCUCCCAGAGACAAUCACGGUUAACAUAUUGGUGCAGACCUUUCCUAAUUUCUUUUCUAUAGAUAUAUAAUUUUCCUCUUUAAAAAUAGAACAAAAUUACUCUAUUUUAUAGCCUGAUUUUUUUUUCCAACUUAGGACAGCGACAGUUGAAUUUUAUGCGUUACCUUGGCUAGGUUAUCGUGCACAGUUGUUUGGUCAAACACCAAUCCAGAUGCUGCUUUGAAGGUAUUUCACAGAUGUAAUGCGCAUUUACAAUCAGCUGACUUUAAAUAAAGGAGAUUGCCUUUGAUAAUGUGGGUGGGCU